rnacentral:lncRNA from 1 species
AGUUGCUUAAGCGUUCACGUUAGGGUCACACAAUCAAUUACCUCCUGAAUGUAUCGUCUCUAUUUCCAAUAUCUGAACACACAAGGAAACUAUAAUCUCUUCCUUCACCUUAUUAGUCUCUUCCUUACAACAAUUCAGUCAUACCAAUAACUGCUAUUUCCACCAAUAUAUUCACCCUCAUAAUCUCCAACUGUAAUACUGCGCCCUCAUAGCUUUCAGCACACAAUUACACUCAUUCCAAUCACUGGAAUUCUUCACACAGAACUGCCAUUCACAUUACGGUGUUUUACACAAACAUAGACUCAUUCUCUCUACUGAACUAUAAUCAGAUUUCAGCAUUCAAUCUUUCUUCUUCUCAAAUAAUACCAAUCACAUUUCCAUUCCAUAAUUCACUUCACAAUAUUUAAAAACUCUCAAUCGUCUUAUUCAAAAAAAAUAACAAACAAAAGAAAAGAGGUAGCACCAAGUUUACUCCGGCUCACACUAUCACAGUGAUGGCCCUUGGCUCAUGACUAUCACAAUCUGGCACCUGAAUUAACUUCUAUAACUCCUAUAUACUUUCCCCUGAUUUUCUAGAUUCUAACCAUAAUUCUGUAAUUAACCACUUUUAAGAACUAAAU